rnacentral:rRNA from 1 species
AGUGAACGCUGGCGGUAGGCCUAACACAUGCAAGUCGAACGGCAGCACAGUAAGAGCUUGCUCUUACGGGUGGCGAGUGGCGGACGGGUGAGGAAUACAUCGGAAUCUACUUUUUCGUGGGGGAUAACGGAGGGAAACUUACGCUAAUACCGCAUACGACCUACGGGUGAAAGCAGGGGAGCUUCGGACCUUGCGCGAUUGAAUGAGCCGAUGUCGGAUUAGCUAGUUGGCGGGGUAAAGGCCAACCAAGGCGACGAUCCGUAGCUGGUCUGAGAGGAGGAUCAGCCACACUGGAACUGAGACACGGUCCAGACUCCUACGGGAGGCAGCAGUGGGGAAUAUUGGACAAUGGGCGCAAGCCUGAUCCAGCCAUACCGCGUGGGUGAAGAAGGCCUUCGGGUUGUAAAGCCCUUUUGUUGGGAAAGAAAAGCAGCAGGUUAAUACCCCGCUGUUCUGACGGUACCCAAAGAAUAAGCACCGGCUAACUUCGUG